GUUCGAGAUAACCUGUAUCAAGGCAGACUGUAUGGAAUGGCUGAUGGGUCUUUAAAAUUUACUAAACUAACAAGUGAAAUCCAAGGAAAUUACAGAGCAAAUAUAUGCACAAACGCAGGAAACAAGCAUUGUAAACAACAAUAUAAUCUUCAAAUGUUCAGUAAGUAUUAGUAACUCAGCAUUUAGAGCUUACAUGAAAAAUCAGUGGUGACAAACCAUGAAUAUAUGCACAAAGUCUGUCCGAAAAGUAUCGAGCCAUGUAAUAUAAAAAUAAGAUAAGAUGAUAGAUACAAG